UUAAGUUAGAAAGGGCGCACGGUGGAUGCCUUGACACUAGGAGUCGAUGAAGGACGGGACUAACGCCGAUAUGCUUCGGGGAGCUGUAAGUAAGCUUUGAUCCGAAGAUUUCCGAAUGGGGAAACCCACCAUACGUAAUGGUAUGGUAUCCUUAUCUGAAUACAUAGGAUAAGGAAGACAGACCCAGGGAACUGAAACAUCUAAGUACCUGGAGGAAGAGAAAGCAAAUGCGAUUUCCUGAGUAGCGGCGAGCGAAACGGAACAUAGCCCAAACCAAGAGGCUUGCCUCUUGGGGUUGUAGGACAUUCUAUACGGAGUUACAAAGGAACGAGGUAGACGAAGCGACCUGGAAAGGUCCGUCGUAGAGGGUAACAACCCCGUAGUCGAAACUUCGUUCUCUCUUGAAUGUAUCCUGAGUACGGCGGAACACGUGAAAUUCCGUCGGAAUCUGGGAGGACCAUCUCCCAAGGCUAAAUACUCCCUAGUGAUCGAUAGUGAACCAGUACCGUGAGGGAAAGGUGAAAAGCACCCCGGAAGGGGAGUGAAAGAGAUCCUGAAACCGUGUGCCUACAAAUAGUCAGAGCCCGUUAACGGGUGAUGGCGUGCCUUUUGUAGAAUGAACCGGCGAGUUACGAUCCCGUGCGAGGUUAAGCUGAAGAGGCGGAGCCGCAGCGAAAGCGAGUCUGAAUAGGGCGUUUAGUACGUGGUCGUAGACCCGAAACCAGGUGAUCUACCCAUGUCCAGGGUGAAGUUCAGGUAACACUGAAUGGAGGCCCGAACCCACGCACGUUGAAAAGUGCGGGGAUGAGGUGUGGGUAGCGGAGAAAUUCCAAUCGAACCUGGAGAUAGCUGGUUCUCCCCGAAAUAGCUUUAGGGCUAGCCUUAAGUGUAAGAGUCUUGGAGGUAGAGCACUGAUUGGACUAGGGGUCCUCAUCGGAUUACCGAAUUCAGUCAAACUCCGAAUGCCAAUGACUUAUCCUUAGGAGUCAGACUGCGAGUGAUAAGAUCCGUAGUCAAAAGGGAAACAGCCCAGACCGCCAGCUAAGGUCCCAAAGUGUGUAUUAAGUGGAAAAGGAUGUGGAGUUGCUUAGACAACUAGGAUGUUGGCUUAGAAGCAGCCACCAUUUAAAGAGUGCGUAAUAGCUCACUAGUCGAGUGACUCUGCGCCGAAAAUGUACCGGGGCUAAAUACACCACCGAAGCUGCGGAUUGAUACCAAUGGUAUCAGUGGUAGGGGAGCGUUCUAAGGACAGUGAAGUCAGACCGUAAGGACUGGUGGAGUGCUUAGAAGUGAGAAUGCCGGUAUGAGUAGCGAAAGACGGGUGAGAAUCCCGUCCACCGAAUGCCUAAGGUUUCCUGAGGAAGGCUCGUCCGCUCAGGGUUAGUCAGGACCUAAGCCGAGGCCGACAGGCGUAGGCGAUGGACAACAGGUUGAUAUUCCUGUACCACCUCUUUAUCGUUUGAGCAAUGGAGGGACGCAGAAGGAUAGAAGAAGCGUGCGAUUGGUUGUGCACGUCCAAGCAGUUAGGCUGAUAAGUAGGCAAAUCCGCUUAUCAUAAAGGCUGAGCUGUGAUGGGGAAGCUCCUUAUGGAGCGAAGUCUUUGAUUCCCCGCUGCCAAGAAAAGCUUCUAGCGAGAUAAAAGGUGCCUGUACCGCAAACCGACACAGGUAGGCGAGGAGAGAAUCCUAAGGUGUGCGAGAGAACUCUGGUUAAGGAACUCGGCAAAAUGACCCCGUAACUUCGGGAGAAGGGGUGCUUUCUUAACGGAAAGCCGCAGUGAAUAGGCCCAAGCGACUGUUUAGCAAAAACACAGCUCUCUGCGAAGCCGUAAGGCGAAGUAUAGGGGGUGACACCUGCCCGGUGCUGGAAGGUUAAGGAGAGGGGUUAGCGUAAGCGAAGCUCUGAACUGAAGCCCCAGUAAACGGCGGCCGUAACUAUAACGGUCCUAAGGUAGCGAAAUUCCUUGUCGGGUAAGUUCCGACCCGCACGAAAGGUGUAACGAUUUGGGCACUGUCUCAACCAGAGACUCGGUGAAAUUAUAGUACCUGUGAAGAUGCAGGUUACCCGCGACAGGACGGAAAGACCCCGUGGAGCUUUACUGUAGCCUGAUAUUGAAUUUUGGUACAGUUUGUACAGGAUAGGCGGGAGCCAUUGAAACCGGAGCGCUAGCUUCGGUGGAGGCGCUGGUGGGAUACCGCCCUGACUGUAUUGAAAUUCUAACCUACGGGUCUUAUCGACCCGGGAGACAGUGUCAGGUGGGCAGUUUGACUGGGGCGGUCGCCUCCUAAAGUGUAACGGAGGCGCCCAAAGGUUCCCUCAGAAUGGUUGGAAAUCAUUCGUAGAGUGCAAAGGCAUAAGGGAGCUUGACUGCGAGACCUACAAGUCGAGCAGGGACGAAAGUCGGGCUUAGUGAUCCGGUGGUUCCGCAUGGAAGGGCCAUCGCUCAACGGAUAAAAGCUACCCCGGGGAUAACAGGCUUAUCUCCCCCAAGAGUCCACAUCGACGGGGAGGUUUGGCACCUCGAUGUCGGCUCAUCGCAUCCUGGGGCUGUAGUCGGUCCCAAGGGUUGGGCUGUUCGCCCAUUAAAGCGGUACGCGAGCUGGGUUCAGAACGUCGUGAGACAGUUCGGUCCCUAUCCGUCGUGGGCGUAGGAAAUUUGAGAGGAGCUGUCCUUAGUACGAGAGGACCGGGAUGGACGCACCGCUGGUGUACCAGUUGUUCUGCCAAGGGCAUAGCUGGGUAGCUAUGUGCGGAAGGGAUAAGUGCUGAAAGCAUCUAAGCAUGAAGCCCCCCUCAAGAUGAGAUUUCCCAUAGCGUAAGCUAGUAAGAUCCCUGAAAGAUGAUCAGGUUGAUAGGUUCGAGGUGGAAGCAUGGUGACAUGUGGAGCUGACGAAUACUAAUAGAUCGAGGACUUAACCA
rnacentral:rRNA from 1 species